UUAUAUUUUUCUCUCAGAUUUACAAACUGUGUCUUCAAGUGGCCUGGCUCUGUCCAUGACAGUUAUAUAUGGAAUAACUCUGCCCUUGGUCAGUACUUUGAAAAGAAGAAUAUUGAUGGAUGGCUACUUGGAGACUCUGGAUAUGCCUGCAGACCAUGGCUGCUGACCCCGGUGCUCAAUCCCAGCUCGGAAGGACAGGAGAAAUACAAUAGAUGCCAUAUCAAGACACGGAACACAAUAGAGAGAGCAUUUGACUUGUGCAAGUCAAGAUUUAGAUGCCUUCACAAGACAACUGGUGUCUUACAAUUCACCCCAGAAAGGAGUUUGUGUGUUGUCC